AAGCGGUUUCGGCAUACCCUUCGGAAGAGAUCAGAUCUGGGAUGGGACGAAGGAGGAAGAGGGUGAAGUGGAGGCUGUCGGUCCGCCCCGCCCCGCCCCUGGCCGAUUCCCUUGCUGGCGCCAGUAGGGUAAGCUUCACUCUCUUCGAGGUCGAUUGAUCUCAACUUUAAUCCUCGAUCUUUAGCGGUUCUCGUGAUAUCUUCCCUGCUUCGUUUGUGAUGUCAUUUUGAUAGCGUCGAUCGGAGCCCUAACCCCCUUCUCAGUUGUUCUCUCCACUCGUGAUCUUCUUCUUCCCUUCUUUGAUUUGAUGUGUGUCUUUCAAGAAGCGGCUUCGCCAUCACCUUUAGGCGAGACCAGAUCCCGUUGCGGGAUGGAGGAGGAUGAGGUUGAAACGGAGGCUACCGCCCGGGCCGAUCCCCUUCCCAGCACCAAUUGUAUAGAAUCCAUUCUCUUGUAGGUCGAUUGUCUCAAUCCUAAUCUUCGAACUUUAGCAGUUGUCGUGAUUUCUCCCCCUUCUCCUCGUUCUUGAUUUCGGAAGUCAUUUUGAUGGCGUGGAUCAGAAUCUUAACCCCCAUCUUUCUUGUUCUUUCUUCUGGCGAUCGCCUUCUUUCCUUCUUUGUGUCUCUUUCUGUUUCUUGAUUUGCGAUGCUUCUCUAGUGGCGUAGGCUAAAAUCGCGGGGUGGAAUCAUGGGGAACGAUCGGAUCGGAUGUGCCCGCGUCGUCUGCGACGGUGGGGAUGUGUUCAUGACAUGUAAUUAUUAUCCACCUGGAAAUUACAUCGUAGAGAGGCCGUAUUAGUGAUGUAAAAAAGCACUUGGAAUCUUGGUUUAGGUGGCCAUACCCCGUUGAUGUAUGCGCGUAAUAAGGUCAGCACACAUGGACACAUGUCCGUGGCUAGUUGGUUUCGACAAUGACAACGUGUCCCCUAAAUGUUUCGUCUGCCACCAAACGACCCAAUUUUUGUCAUGAUUCAAUAACUAAUUAUAUAAUAAAUCUUAUCAUUUUCACAAGAACAUUUUGUGAUAGGCGAAAAUGAUAUUAUCCAUAGCGUACAUAUUAGGCCCACUUGCUCUUCACUCCGACCUCAUUUGGUCACGUCGGCAUAACAUCGAUACACCGACAAGGGGUUUGAUUAAGCUCCACGGGUGAGUUUCGACAUGAAAAUUAAUUUGAUGAAUGAAAAUUGAUUUGAUAAAUCAUUGUUUCGCAUCUUUAAAUUUGAUGCAUGAUUUCACGACCACAAUAAUGAUACUCGUCGCCUGCCUCGUCGAAACCCUCGUAGCCCCAACCGGACCCCAACCGCCGAUGGCCCACGUUUUGGAUCAUCUAGCUGUAGGGAUGGCGGCAACUUGAUCAGUUGUGUUUUCGCCGCCUUCUUAAGGCCCCCAACGGUAGAUGGUCCACGUUUUGGAUCAUCAAGCUGUAGCGAGGGCGACUACUUAAUCAGGUGAGGUGCGUCCUCUCUUCCCAAUCUUGAUGUGGAUCUGGUUGUGUUUUCUCGAGUUCUUUAUGGUUGUUGGGGCUGUUCUUGAGUUCUUGUGUUUUCGCCGCCCUCUAAGGGCCCCCAACCGGAUCCCAACCAUAUGUAGCGAUGGCGGCUACUUGAUCAGGUGCAUUCUCUCUUCCCAAUCUUGUGUGGAUCUGGUUGUGUUUUCUUAGGUUCUUUAUGGUGCUGAGAUGUUAUUGAGGCUGUUAUCUAAGGAAGUGGAGGUUGCCAAGAAAUGCAUAAUUAAUUAUCAUUUGCUCUUGUUUACA